AUGUAUUCUCUCUCCUCUCACUUACACAUGGUGGCCUUAGAAAUUGUGUAGAAUGAUUUUGCAUGUAUGGAAUCUUUUCAAAUCUUACAAAAUCCAAGAUACAUCUCAAACACAAUUCAUUCUCUCUCUCUCUAAACAAGCAUUGGCCGAACACCCCCUUUCUACUUUGUUUUUAAAUUUCCAACUUUGUUCUUGGAGAUUCAAGCUAAUUUCAAGAUGAUUUCAAGUGUAUUUGAAGGUUUAAAGGUGAUUCCAAGGAGUUUCAAGCAAGAACCAAGCAUAAUAUCAUCUUUUUAUUCAAAAACCCACUUGAAUCUUGAAGGACGUGUAGAAAUCAAUCUGUGGGAUUGCGCUAUUUAAAAAUACGUACCCAAAGGUACUUGAGUUCGGCUUCGGGAAUCAUGGCGUAUCUUGUGUUUGUUGAUGCAUGUUUUGUCACUUAAAAAUGUUGGACUAACUUUUAAACUUUCUGGGACAAAUGUAAUAAGAUCCGUGAGGAUCAAAGAUAACUUUAUCAUGUCAUGGUUAUGUCGUGUUUUGGGACGCUAUGUUUAAAACCUAUGUUUUAAAUAAGUAAUAUUGUCCAACAA